UACGGAGGAUGCGAGCGUUAUCCGGAUUUAUUGGGUUUAAAGGGUGCGUAGGUGGGAUUUUAAGUCAGUGGUGAAAGUUUGUCGCUCAACGAUAAAAUUGCCAUUGAAACUGGGAUUCUUGAGUAUGUUUGAGGUAGGCGGAAUGCGUGGUGUAGCGGUGAAAUGCAUAGAUAUCACGCAGAACUCCGAUUGCGAAGGCAGCUUACUAAACCAUAACUGACACUGAUGCACGAAAGCGUGGGUAUCAAACAGG
rnacentral:rRNA from 1 species